GGGAAGUUGUUUUUGGGAAGUUGUUUUUGAGAAAUUUCCAGGUCCACCCUUAUAACAAAAUAGUUAAACCACAUUGCUGCAGCAAAUUAUUUUAUUGGUGCUUCUAGAAACUUGUGGGAUUCAUUGGAGAACAGGGAAAGAGUAGCAUUCUUGUUUUCUUGUACGAUGAUGAAGGGAGGAAGGUCGUUUGAUGCUGCUGCAUACCUGUACGAGGUACUGCUUGAGCAGCAAGCAGCAGUAGAAAUUUGCGAGUUCUGAAACAAAGGUGCGCAUUUCCAUCAAAAUAUUGCCCUAUAUCCAAAACUACAGAGUUUGGUCUAGGUCUCUCUUUCGCUGAUUGAGAUAUGGCGCUCAGGGCAUCAACAGCUUGGGCUGACGCGCCGCGGGGCCUCCAGCUCN
rnacentral:lncRNA from 1 species